CCCUUAGAUGUUCUGGGCCGCACGCGCGCUACACUGUUCGACGCAGCGAGUCUUAACCUUGACCGAAAGGUUUGGGUAAUCUUCAGCAAAGUCGAACGUGAUGGGGAUUGAUCAUUGCAAUUAUUGAUCGUGAACGAGGAAUUCCUAGUAAGUGCAAGUCAUCAGCUUGCGCUGAUUACGUCCCUGCCCUUUGUACACACCGCCCGUCGCUACUACCGAUUGAAUGGUUUAGUGAGAUCUCUGGAUUGACGCUGGCUAGGGGGCGACCCUUGGCCAGACUGUUGAGAAACUGCUCAAACUUGAUCAUUUAGAGGAAGUAAAAGUCGUAACA
rnacentral:rRNA from 1 species